rnacentral:lncRNA from 1 species
UUUUUAUUUUCUAUUAAGAUCAUAGAAAACAUGAGAUCCCUUGGUCAUGUGUGAUAAGUCUUUGGGAAGAAAAGAUAAAAGUUUCAUAGAUGGUAUGGGAUAUUGCCGCUCUCAAAUGCAAGAAAAACCGUCAUUUCACAUAUGCUGUUACAUCUACUUAUUGGCAUUACUGUCCCUCUGUUUUUCAGAUGAGAAGCUGAGGCACAAAGACAAAUAUCUUACCUAAGGAUAGCCAGGUCAUGAAUGGCACUGCGGAAAUUUGAAUUCAUGUAAUCUGAUCCCAGAGAACCUGCCUUGAAUGGCCGUUUUCCAGACUACACAGUUUUCUCUCACAAGAUAUUAACUUUUUGAACUAAUAAAGGAGAAGAGUCAAUGGCUCCAGUUAAUUCCAGGAGCAAAAAUUUAUCUUUUUUGUGUACAGUAACUGGAUGAAUUAGAAGUUGUGUGUGAAAGGUGAUAUUUAUAAGGUAUUUGGGAAUUCAAUGACGAACACUUCCCUGGGAAAGUAGCAGUUUAAAAGGAAAGUCAUCUGAACCUAAGCAGUGUAGUGGUGUCCAUCAGGAAACAUGGUCUUGAAUGGAAAGAACAAAACCAAACUAGAAUAAAGAAUCACCACCCAAGCAGGAGAGAAAUCAACAAGAGGGCACCUGGCUAGGCCUGGUAUGUGGCUGCUGCUCAGAAAAUUUAAAAAGAUUCCAGGAGAAGGGAGUAAAGAAGGAGCUCCCUGCUGCAGGCUCAAAGACUGUCAACCACCUGCAGAGGUCGCCACCCUGACUACCAGCCUCUGGCUGGCCCACCCGUUGGACACCACGACUCUCCACUCCCUCUUCUAUUACUCCGGGAUCCUAGAUAGUGCCAUGUGAUGUGUGCACUAAGAAGGAGUUGGGAGAGACAGCUCUUCUCUGUGGCUAGUUGCCAGCUGAUGUUUGAAGGAAGGAGAGAAGACAGAGCCUCUUUUCUGCAUCAGAAAAUACUGUGAACACAGAUGUGGGCUUUAGCAACCUGCAAGUGCAGCCUUCUUCUAACAAAAUGAACCCUAUAUGAAAUUCUGGAAAGUAAAAGAGGAAGUUAGAUGGGUGACCCAUUUGAGGUAGGUAUGAUAAUAGCAACUGUUUCUCUUUUGUCAAUUUGUCUUCUGCAUAGGAUAUAUGUGUAGCUGGAAUAAGCAAUGAAUAAA